UACGUAGGGUGCAAGCGUUAAUCGGAAUUACUGGGCGUAAAGCGUGCGCAGGCGGUUAUGUAAGACAGAUGUGAAAUGCCCGGGCUUAACCUGGGAACUGCAUUUGUGACUGCAUGGCUAGAGUUUGGCAGAGGGGGGUAGAAUUCCACGUGUAGCAGUGAAAUGCGUAGAGUAUGUGGAGGAACACCGAUGGGCGAAGGCAGCCCCCUGGGUUAACACUGACGCUCAGGCACGAAAGCGUGGGGAGCAAACAGG
rnacentral:rRNA from 1 species